rnacentral:rRNA from 1 species
UACAGGGGGGGGCAAGCGUUGUUCGGAAUUACUGGGCGUAAAGGGCCAGUAGGCGGCCAACUAAGUCCGACGUGAAAUCCCCAGGCUUAACCUGGGAACUGCGUCGGAUACUGGAUGGCUUGAAUUCGGGAGAGGGAUGCAGAAUUCCAGGUGUAGCGGUGAAAUGCGUAGAUAUCUGGAGGAAUACCGGUGGCGAAGGCGGGUCUCUGGGCCGAUACUGACGCUGAGGAGCGAAAGCGUGGGGGAGCGAACAGG